CCCGGUGUCUCUGAGCUGCAUCUAAUGUCACUUUGCAUAACUGUAGAGGAUGGAAACACGACUGGGCUUGCAUUUUUCCUGCUGAAAUUUCAUAAAUGCAUAUAACAUUUGUCAAACUUUUGAACGGAAACCCGGAAUAAAGAAGAGAGGCAAAUCAUGAGGUGGAUGCAGAGGGAGAGUUUGCUGAUUGAAAACCUUGGCUUCUGCUUUUCAUGUUCAGGAGAAAGUGGAAGUAAAGCAGCACUGCCAAAGAAGAACGAAAGGCAAAAACAUUAUCAAUUCAGUCUUGUCUUCUACUUUUCAGCAGCCACAUUUUGCCUCUCCUCUUGAAUUCCCUACUGAGAAAAAAGAGCAGAGUUUUGUCUUCCCACAACCAGGCACAGAUGAAAGUCAUCACUUUUUACUCACUGCCCUCCCCCACCCCCCUCUCCUAACCUCCCUCCAGUUAGCAGCCUGUACGUACGCCCAGCCCCCAACUCGGUUGGGAAACCAUCUGGCCUAAAGCCCACUCCCUAACUCCCUAUCCCUGCUUUUGCCCCGAAGAAGAAAUCAGUUGCUGCAAUCUGCACUGGACAACUUUAAAAGCCUGAAAAGCCAGAGACAAGUGGGUAAUAUGAUUUCUGUGAAAGCCUGUUGGCUCUGUUCCGUCCACUGGACUGGACACUGUCUUUUCAAGUCUUUCUAUCCACAUGGACGGAGGAGACAGAAGCUCACAGUGGCCGAGUGAUGUUACAGGGGAGAACACUUCAUACAGAACAGCUGGAGGCAGCAAAGCGUUCCAGCAUUUGGAGGAAAAACACUGUGGAAACUGAUGCUUCACACUGACAUCCUGGAAUGAUAAUAGUAUGACUUACAGGAAAAUAUUCUUUAACGUGGACGAGAUACUGAAAUACUGAAGCAGUCUGCAGGCCUAGGUGCUUGGUUUUAUACACCUGUGGCCAUGGAAGUGAUUAGAACACCUGAAUCCAAUGAUUUG